UUUUGUGAACGUGAAGGUUAAUUUUCAAUAUAUAGACUUUUAUUUAUUUCAUUUGUAAAACUUUGACCUCAAUUUUGAGAGAGUGAGCUGGAAAGAUUCCGUCUUUCCGGUGAAAUUCAAGAGAACUAAUUUCGGUCUUAGCUCAUCUAAGAAAGGACGGAACUGUCGAGUAAGGAUUGACCGAAGUCUUUAGCCAAAAAAAUAGACAAAUAAAAGCGUAAUCUAAGCAGACAGAGCUAAAUAAUACAUGUAGGGUAAACGAGGACUAUUGUCAGAUUUAAGUUGUCGAGUAACGGGCCUUUGAAAUUUCGAGAAAAGAGGGGAAGUACUCUAUACAGUGUGUUCUAUUAUUGUCUGUAAACGAUUGGCUAGAUAUCUAUUUUUUCAGAUCAAAACCCGAAUAUUGAUAUCCGCAGAUAAUAGAUAUAAAACUUAGGCCUAGUCUCAAACAUCCACAACUUUUUCUCAUAACUCUGAUUGCAAUGAACUUUGCCACUCGACUGUGUCUACCUCGACAUGUAAUACCUAUAA
rnacentral:sRNA from 1 species